GCCUUCCCCACCCCGGGCUCGUCCGCCCGCCCCGCCCCUCGCGCAGCGAGCGGCAGUGCCCGGCGGUGCCACCAGGGGGCGCGCGCGAGCCGACCCGGCAGCUGCAGACGGACCUGCGAUUGCGGGUCUGAGGAUGCCCAGAGUUGCAGCUUCCAGAGCGAUGCAGCGUUCUCGUCCUCUGUCCUGCCUUCCUGCUGCACCAGCCAGAUGAAAAAACUUCCAAACGUGCAGAUUAUGACGUCGCUAGUCAACAGUUCUACUCUGAAUUGCUCUUUAUAUUCUGAGAGCUUUGUUUAGCCUUGAGGUCCCCACAGCAACAUAAGGCAAUUAACAAGGGAUUAUUGUCCUGGUUUUAAUGAACGGAAUCUGACUCUGUGAGGGGAAAGGAAAGAACUUUUGAUGAAGCAGCUUCCACAUGCCCGCCUCUUGCACAGCGGGUCCAAGCCUCCCACAAAGGAACCCCUGGUGGAUCGCAUCUGAGGAGUAAGAAGAGAUAGAUCGCAUCUGAGGAGUAAGAAGAGAUAGAUGGUCCUGCUAGCAUGGACACCAUCUGUGCCCAUGAUCUCCAUCAGACCCAGGAGGUAAGAUUCACUGGGACAUCUCCACGAGGACUACAAGGAGGACUACUCUUCGUGUUCAUCUUGUCGUCACUGGACUCAAGACUGAGCAUCCUGUCUAAUAUAAAAGUACUGGGUCCCGUUUUAUUAAACAGUGCCCUUUUGACUUA